ACCUCGCUCCACCUCAGCAAGCACGGCCUAAGGGCAUACGCCCGGAAAAAAGCCCGAAACCACUCAAAAUUCACCCUGCACGGUCAGCCCGCCCAGAUGUUCCAUCAACACCCACAUCCAGCCAGCACCCACCACGAGAGGCUCACACAAACACCACACCAACAAAAACGGCAGCCGCGCGCGCGCGCGACGACCAGUCCCAAAACUGGCAAAAGCAGUCAGCCAACACUCAUCGUUCACCCGUAGCACACAACCAGCAACUCUCCACGAGCUGCGGCCGGGUGCUGCGAGGUGCCCACAUGCCGGGUGGAGCGCUUAGGCAGCCACCUUCUCAGAGAAGCGGGGCGAGGUGCCGUACAUGUACUCCUCGAAGCGGCGGACCUCGCCGAUCGAGCCGUAGCAGAUCUGGGUGCGCUGGUCGCACACCAGGAUGGGGAUGUCCAGAGCGGACACGGCCUUGCCGUCGCAGCUGGAGGCACCGCCGGCCUUCUCGAUCUGCGAGCGUGAGUGUGAUGCGGUCAAAAUGGUUAGCGCCAAAUCCAAACACACAUGCCUUGGACCCUGUCGGUGAGCGCUCACGCCACUCCCUCCACCCCUCCAAUCCCCGGCUUCCCCUGCGUUUCCGCACCACUGCUCACCAGCAGGGCCAGGGGAGCAACCUCGAACAGGAUGCGGAGCUUGGCCUUGGUGGUGGGCGAGGUCACGUUGGUGAACACACCCUUCUCCUUGACAAUGAUCUGGAACACGUCGGGCACCAUGCCGCCGGUGUAGCGCAGGGUGUACUUCUCGCCCAGGUAGAAGUUGAUCAGGCGCUCGUAGGCGGGGUUGUCGAAGGUGGCGCGCAGGUUGCCGGGGGCGAACAUCUUGCCCUCACCUGGACGUUGAUGACAAGCGAGGGGAACGGAAUGGCGAGUACGGUAACUCGGAUGCUGGGACCGGAUCGGCGUGACCCCUCAAACCCGGGCGUGCAGACUGCCGCCUGGUUGGCUGGCUUCGUCCCUGAUGAGCGCUCGCCUGCCCAGCCCGUCGUGCGCCCUGACCUAGGUCAUUGCUCCAUUGCUUCAUUUCUCCCCUCCGCUCGCUCGCCUUCAGCGCAACACUAAGCUCCCGCUGAACGUUUGGGCACCGGCGUGGCUCACGCUCGCGCUGCAAUCUCAGCCCACAAGCUGCCACGCGUCCCUUUUCUCGCCACCGCCGCCUGUACGGCUGUACCCAUAACGUCCGGUCCCAG
rnacentral:lncRNA from 1 species